CAGCCGCCGCGGUAAUACGAGGGGGGCAAGCGUUGUUCGGAUUUAUUGGGCGUAAAGGGUGCGUAGGCGGUAUGGCAAGUCUUGUGUGAAAUCUUCGGGCUCAACCCGAAGCCUGCACGAGAAACUACCGGGCUUGAGUAUUGGAGAGGUGAGUGGAAUUUCCGGUGUAGCGGUGAAAUGCGUAGAUAUCGGAAGGAACACCUGUGGCGAAAGCGGCUCACUGGACAAUAACUGACGCUGAUGCACGAAAGCUAGGGGAGCAAACAGGAUUAGAUACCCCGGUAGUCCCUGUCUCUUAUAC
rnacentral:rRNA from 1 species